rnacentral:lncRNA from 1 species
GUGAUGCACUGCUUUGUCGACGCGGCAGUAGAACCGCUGAUCGGCUUAUCCUUCUUGGUUAGCCUGGAUGGAUCUUCCCACCGGUUCUCGCCGAGAAGGUACACUCUGUGUUUGUUGUAGUCAAUUUUUUCCACCACAGGUUGCUGAACCUCUGCGGUUUCUGUUAUAGGAGGAACAAGUGCUCCGUUUACGCCUUCCUGCAAGUAAAACAGAAGUAUAAUCUCAGAUUUGUGCAUCAGGAUGUCACUGCGACGCCAUGGCCACAUCACUGAAAUACUGACUGUGGCUUGGAGUUGGAGUUUCU